rnacentral:rRNA from 1 species
GACGUAGGGCGCGAGCGUUGUCCGGAUUUAUUGGGCGUAAAGAGCUCGUAGGCGGUUUGUCGCGUCGGAUGUGAAAACCCAGGGCUCAACCCUGGGCCUGCAUUCGAUACGGGCAGACUAGAGUAUGGCAGGGGAGACUGGAAUUCCUGGUGUAGCGGUGAAAUGCGCAGAUAUCAGGAGGAACACCGGUGGCGAAGGCGGGUCUCUGGGCCAAAACUGACGCUGGAGGAGCGAAAAGCGUGGGGAGCGAACAGG